rnacentral:rRNA from 1 species
AAAUGAAUAGACGGGGGCCCGCACAAGCGGUGGAGCAUGUGGUUUAAUUCGAAGCUACGCGAAGAACCUUACCAGGGCUUGACAUUUACCUGGCGUCAGGUAGAGACACCUGAUUCUUUUCGGAGCGGGUAAACAGGUGGUGCAUGGUUGUCGUCAGCUCGUGUCGUGAGAUGUUGGGUUAAGUCCCGCAACGAGCGCAACCCUUGUUCUUAGUUGCCAUCAGGUGAAGCUGGGCACUCUAAGGAGACUGCCGGUGACAAACCGGAGGAAGGUGGGGAUGACGUCAAAUCCUCAUGCCCCUUAUGUCCUGGGCUACACACGUGCUACAAUGGCCCGUACAGCGGGUAGCGAAGGGGUAACCUGGAGCCAAUCCCUCAAAGCGGGUCACAGUUCGGAUUGCAGGCUGCAAUUCGCCUGCAUGAAGCAGGAAUCGCUAGUAAUCGCGGAUCAGCAUGUCGCGGUGAAUACGUUCCCGGGCCUUGUACACACCGCCCGU